GAUGAACGCUGGCGGCGUGCCUAAUACAUGCCAGUCGAGCGAACGGACGAGAAGCUUGCUUCUCUGAUGUUAGCGGCGGACGGGUGAGUAACACGUGGAUAACCUACCUAUAAGACUGGGAUAACUUCGGGAAACCGGAGCUAAUACCGGAUGAUAUUUUGAACCGCAUGGUUCAAAAGUGAAAGACGGUCUUGCUGUCACUUAUAGAUGGAUCCGCGCUGCAUUAGCUAGUUGGUAAGGUAACGGCUUACCAAGGUAACGAUGCAUAGCCGACCUGAGAGGGUGAUCGGCCACACUGGAACUGAGACACGGUCCAGACUCCUACGGGAGGCAGCAGUAGGGAAUCUUCCGCAAUGGGCGAAAGCCUGACGGAGCAACGCCGCGUGAGUGAUGAAGGUCUUCGGAUCGUAAAACUCUGUUAUUAGGGAAGAACAUAUGUGUAAGUAACUGUGCACAUCUUGACGGUACCUAAUCAGAAAGCCACGGCUAACUACGUG
rnacentral:rRNA from 1 species